rnacentral:lncRNA from 1 species
GUUCAUAAAAAGAGAUAUAUUUGUCCUGCGCAAUCUGUAGACUAAAUUUUCGGGCGGUCUACAAUUCUUUUUGAAUAUCUCGUGAAAUUUUUUUUUGAUUUUGAUUUUUUUUUGCAAGAUUUUUUACUUUUCUGGAUUUUGGUAGGUAUUGGUAGGUAUUGGUAGGUAUUGGUAGGUAUUGGUAAGUAUGGUAUAUAUUAUAGUUAAUUCGGUCACGCAGGGUUGCCCC